rnacentral:rRNA from 1 species
CGGGCCUUGGUAGCGCAGCUAACGCGUGAAGUUGACCGCCUGGGGAGUACGGUCGCAAGAUUAAAACUCAAAGGAAUUGACGGGGACCCGCACAAGCGGUGGAUGAUGUGGAUUAAUUCGAUGCAACGCGAAAAACCUUACCUACCCUUGACAUGUCUGGAAUGCCGAAGAGAUUUGGCAGUGCUCGCAAGAGAACCGGAACACAGGUGCUGCAUGGCUGUCGUCAGCUCGUGUCGUGAGAUGUUGGGUUAAGUCCCGCAACGAGCGCAACCCUUGUCAUUAGUUGCUACGAAAGGGCACUCUAAUGAGACUGCCGGUGACAAACCGGAGGAAGGUGGGGAUGACGUCAAGUCCUCAUGGCCCUUAUGGGUAGGGCUUCACACGUCAUACAAUGGUCGGGACAGAGGGUCGCCAACCCGCGAGGGGGAGCCAAUCCCAGAAACCCGAUCGUAGUCCGGAUCGCAGUCUGCAACUCGACUGCGUGAAGUCGGAAUCGCUAGUAAUCGCGGAUCAGCAUGUCGCGGUGAAUACGUUCCC